GCUUUAGAAAAUAAAUAUUGAAUAUAAUAGAACUAAUAUCUUAGCUUACUAUUGCUAAGAAAGUUAGUCUGAAAAGAAUAAAUCUUCGCCAUCACCAGGGGACUUUUUAGUCCACAGUUAGUCGUUUUACCCCGCCAUCUGGAUGCCUUCACAUUCAGAUGGUCGUAA
rnacentral:sRNA from 1 species